rnacentral:rRNA from 2 species
ACGGGAGGCAGCAGUGGGGAAUAUUGCACAAUGGGGGAAACCCUGAUGCAGCGACGCCGCGUGAGCGAUGAAGUAUUUCGGUAUGUAAAGCUCUAUCAGCAGGGAAGAUAAUGACGGUACCUGACUAAGAAGCUCCGGCUAAAUACGUGCCAGCAGCCGCGGUAAUACGUAUGGAGCAAGCGUUAUCCGGAUUUACUGGGUGUAAAGGGAGCGUAGGCGGUGAGGCAAGUCUGAUGUGAAAACCCAGGGCUCAACCUUGGGACUGCAUUGGAAACUGUCUGACUAGAGUAUCGGAGGGGUAAGCGGAAUUCCUAGUGUAGCGGUGAAAUGCGUAGAUAUUAGGAGGAACACCGGUGGCGAAGGCGGCUUACUGGACGAUAACUGACGCUGAGGCUCGAAAGCGUGGGGAGCAAACAGGAUUAGAUACCCUGGUA